ACUAAAUAAAGGAUGGCUUUCAGUCUCUGAGUGGCAGACAGUUGCUGUGGUUUAGCUCUAGUGGAAGUUGCUGGGAAUCCACCUUCUGGAACUUGUGGAAAGCCUACUGAAGGAAAAGCUGUUGGUGAGAGAGGUCUCAGAGGAGGCAGUUUAUUACAAAGCCUUCCACAGAGAGGGUAGCUAUGGAAAGCAGCCACUAGCUGCUGUGCACUCCAAAAACUGGCCAUGGGAGAACUGUUUCAUGAACUGGGCCCUGAAGAUACGGCAGAGACUAGGAACCAGGCAGUGAUCUGGAACUCCUCGCGCUGAAAGUCUAGAUAUUUCUACCCUACGGUGACAUCGGCACUCAACUCUGUACUUCCAAAUACUGUACUGAGUACUGGUUUUACCGGACUCUUGGAAUUUCUCCCCACCUUGAUCACUGUUACAGGAGAGACUGACUUGUGUUCCCAGGCCUUAAUUCUCUCCUGAUGCUCGACAAUAAAGGAUAAUAGGACGAAUAGCACUACA